AUUGAACGCUGGCGGCAGGCCUAACACAUGCAAGUCGAGCGGAUGAAGGGAGCUUGCUCCUGGAUUCAGCGGCGGACGGGUGAGUAAUGCCUAGGAAUCUGCCUGGUAGUGGGGGAUAACGUCCGGAAACGGGCGCUAAUACCGCAUACGUCCUGAGGGAGAAAGUGGGGGAUCUUCGGACCUCACGCUAUCAGAUGAGCCUAGGUCGGAUUAGCUAGUUGGUGGGGUAAAGGCCUACCAAGGCGACGAUCCGUAACUGGUCUGAGAGGAUGAUCAGUCACACUGGAACUGAGACACGGUCCAGACUCCUACGGGAGGCAGCAGUGGGGAAUAUUGGACAAUGGGCGAAAGCCUGAUCCAGCCAUGCCGCGUGUGUGAAGAAGGUCUUCGGAUUGUAAAGCCCUUUUAGUUGGGAGGAAGGGCAGUAAGUUAAUACCUUGCUGUUUUGACGUUACCAACAGAAUAAGCACCGGCUAACUUCGUG
rnacentral:rRNA from 1 species